CGACCUCAGAGCAGGCGAGACUACCCGCUGAAUUUAAGCAUAUUACUAAGCGGAGGAAAAGAAACUAACAAGGAUUCCCCCAGUAGCGGCGAGCGAACAGGGAAGAGUCCAGCACCGAACCCCGCAGGCUGCCGCCUGUCGUGGCAUGUGGUGUUUGGGAGGGUCCACUACCCCGACGCCUCGCGCCGAGCCCAAGUCCAACUUGAAUGAGGCCACGGCCCGUAGAGGGUGCCAGGCCCGUAGCGGCCGGUGCGAGCGUCGGCGGGACCUCUCCUUCGAGUCGGGUUGCUUGAGAGUGCAGCUCCAAGUGGGUGGUAAACUCCAUCUGAGACUAAAUAUGACCACGAGACCGAUAGCGAACAAGUACCGUGAGGGAAAGUUGAAAAGAACUUUGAAGAGAGAGUUCAAAAGUACGUGAAACCGUUCUGGGGUAAACGUGAGAAGUCCGAAAGGUCGAACGGGUGAGAUUCACGCCCAUCCGGCCACUGGCUCCCGCCCUCGGCAGAUGGGGCCGGCCGCCCGCGCGGAGCAAUCCGCGGCGGGGUCGUGUCCGGUUGCCUUUCCACUCGCCGCGGGGUGGGGCCGUUCCGGUGUGCGGUGGGCCGCACUUCUCCCCUAGUAGGACGUCGCGACCCGCUGGGUGCCGGCCUACGGCCCGGGUGCGCAGCCUGUCCUUCCGCGGGCCUCGGUUCGCGUCUGUUGGGCAGAGCCCCGGUGUCCUGGCUGGCUGCUCGGCGGUAUAUCUGGAGGAGUCGAUUCGCCCCUUUGGGCGCUCGGGCUCCCGGCAAGCGCGCGCGGUUCUUCCCGGAUGACGGACCUACCUGGCCCGGCCCCGGACCCGCGCCGCUGUUGGCUCGGGAUGCUCUCGGGCGGAAUAAUCGCUCCCGUCAGCGGCGCUUCAGCUUUGGACAAUUUCACGACCCGUCUUGAAACACGGACCAAGGAGUCUAACAUGUGCGCGAGUCAUUGGGCUGUACGAAACCUAAAGGCGUAAUGAAAGUGAAGGUCUCGCCUUGCGCGGGCCGAGGGAGGAUGGGGCUUCCCUGCCCUUCACGGGGCGGCGGCCUCCGCACUCCCGGGGCGUCUCGUCCUCAUUGCGAGGUGAGGCGCACCUAGAGCGUACACGUUGGGACCCGAAAGAUGGUGAACUAUGCCUGGCCAGGACGAAGUCAGGGGAAACCCUGAUGGAGGUCCGUAGCGAUUCUGACGUGCAAAUCGAUCGUCGGAGCUGGGUAUAGGGGCGAAAGACUAAUCGAACCAUCUAGUAGCUGGUUCCCUCCGAAGUUUCCCUCAGGAUAGCUGGUGCUCGUACGAGUCUCAUCCGGUAAAGCGAAUGAUUAGAGGCCUUGGGGCCGAAACGACCUCAACCUAUUCUCAAACUUUAAAUGGGUGAGAUCUCCGGCUUGCUUGAUAUGCUGAAGCCGCGAGCAAACGACUCGGAUCGGAGUGCCAAGUGGGCCACUUUUGGUAAGCAGAACUGGCGCUGUGGGAUGAACCAAACGCCGAGUUAAGGCGCCCGAAUCGACGCUCAUGGGAAACCAUGAAAGGCGUUGGUUGCUUAAGACAGCAGGACGGUGGCCAUGGAAGUCGGAAUCCGCUAAGGAGUGUGUAACAACUCACCUGCCGAAGCAACUAGCCCUGAAAAUGGAUGGCGCUGAAGCGUCGUGCCUAUACUCGGCCGUCAGUCUGGCAGUCAUGGCCGGUCCUUGCGGCCGGCCGCGAAGCCCUGACGAGUAGGAGGGUCGCGGCGGUGGGCGCAGAAGGGUCUGGGCGUGAGCCUGCCUGGAGCCGCCGUCGGUGCAGAUCUUGGUGGUAGUAGCAAAUACUCCAGCGAGGCCCUGGAGGGCUGACGCGGAGAAGGGUUUCGUGUGAACAGCCGUUGCACACGAGUCAGUCGAUCCUAAGCCCUAGGAGAAAUCCGAUGUUGAUGGGGGCCGUCAUAGCAUGAUGCACUUUGUGCUGGCCCCCGUUGGGCGAAAGGGAAUCCGGUUCCUAUUCCGGAACCCGGCAGCGGAACCGAUACAAGUCGGGCCCCUCUUUUAGAGAUGCUCGUCGGGGUAACCCAAAAGGACCCGGAGACGCCGUCGGGAGAUCGGGGAAGAGUUUUCUUUUCUGCAUGAGCGUUCGAGUUCCCUGGAAUCCUCUAGCAGGGAGAUAGGGUUUGGAACGCGAAGAGCACCGCAGUUGCGGCGGUGUCCCGAUCUUCCCCUCGGACCUUGAAAAUCCGGGAGAGGGCCACGUGGAGGUGUCGCGCCGGUUCGUACCCAUAUCCGCAGCAGGUCUCCAAGGUGAAGAGCCUCUAGUCGAUAGAAUAAUGUAGGUAAGGGAAGUCGGCAAAUUGGAUCCGUAACUUCGGGAUAAGGAUUGGCUCUGAGGAUCGGGGCGUGUCGGGCUUGGUCGGGAAGUGGGUCAGCGCUAACGUGCCGGGCCUGGGCGAGGUGAGUGCCGUAGGGGUGCCGGUAAGUGCGGGCGUUUAGCGCGGGCGUGGUCUGCUCUCGCC